rnacentral:lncRNA from 1 species
AAGCUCCGCCGGUUGCCUCCUGACUUAAGUUAUUUUUUGGCGAUUUUUGGGGGAUUUUUCGGCGCGAUUCCGGCGUCGCGCUCCGCUCGCGCAGGUUAUCCCUUCUGUCCCGCUAGAUUGAUGAGAUCAGGCAUC